rnacentral:pre_miRNA from 1 species
GUGUUUUUGUCGUUACGGUCGUUUCGGUUGCAUGCGAACGUGAAGGCUGGUUCACACAUCUGCGUUGGUUGCGUUCGCAUGCAACCGAAACGACCGUAACGACAAAGUCAC